UACGUAGGGUGCGAGCGUUAAUCGGAAUUACUGGGCGUAAAGUGUGCGCAGGUGGCCGCGCAAGUCGAGUGUGAAAUCCCCGAGCUUAACUUGGGAAUUGCGCUCGAAACUACGUGGCUCGAGUGUGGCAGAGGAAGGUGGAAUUCCACGUGUAGCGGUGAAAUGCGUAGAGAUGUGGAGGAACACCGAUGGCGAAGGCAGCCCCUUGGU
rnacentral:rRNA from 1 species